rnacentral:rRNA from 1 species
CAAACUGAAGAUGGCAACCGGCGCACGGGUGAGUAACACGUAUCCAACCUGCCGAUAACUCCGGAAUAGCCUUUCGAAAGAAAGAUUAAUACCGGAUGGCAUACGAAUAUCGCAUGAUAUUUUUAUUAAAGAAUUUCGGUUAUCGAUGGGGAUGCGUUCCAUUAGUUUGUUGGCGGGGUAACGGCCCACCAAGACUACGACGGAUAGGGGUUCUGAGAGGAAGGUCCCCCACAUUGGAACUGAGACACGGUCCAA